rnacentral:rRNA from 1 species
AUUGAACGCUGGCGGCAGGCCUAACACAUGCAAGUCGAACGAGUGGCGGACGGGUGAGUAAUGUCUGGGAAACUGCCUGAUGGAGGGGGAUAACUACUGGACACGGUAGCUAAUACCGCAUAACAUCUGUUGUUCCCCGAUGGGAUUUGCUUGUUGGUGGGGUAACGGAUCACCAAGGCGACGAUCCCUAGCUGGUAUGAUAGGAUGAACGUCCACCAUGAACAGAGGAUACGGUGCAGCAUCUAACGGGAGGAAGCCGUGGGGAAUAUUGCACAAUGGGGGCAAGCCUGAUGAAGCAAGGCCGCGUGGAUGAAGAAGGUCUUCGGGUUGUAAAGUACUUUCAGAGGGGAGGCGUAACCCAAAGAAGAAGCACCGGCAAACUCCGUGCCAGCAGCCGCGGUAAUAC